rnacentral:tRNA from 2 species
GCGGGUGUAGCUCAGCGGUAGAGCGUCUCCUUGCCAAGGAGAAGGCCGCGGGUUCAAAUCCCGUCGCCCGCUCCA